rnacentral:lncRNA from 1 species
UUUGAUUUAGGAUUAGGAUUAGGAUUUGGUUAAGAUUUUAUUAGGAUUUGAUUUAGGAUUUAGGAUUUGGUUAGGGUUUGGUUUAGGGUUAGGAUUUAAUUAGGAUUUGGUUAGGGUUUGGCUUAGGGUUAGGAUUUGGUUAGGAUUUAAUUUAGGAUUAAGGUUUAGUUUAGGAUUUAGGGUUUGGUUAGGAUUUGAUUUAGGAUUAGGAUUUGGUUUAGGAUUUAGGGUUUGUUUAGGGUUUGAUUUCGGAUUAGGAUUUGAUUUAGGAUUUAGGAUUUGAUAAGGGUUUGAUUUAGGGUUUAUGAUUUGGUUUAGAGUGUAGGAUUUGGUUUAGGAUUUAAGAUUUGGUUAAGGUUUGAUUAGGAUUUGAUUUAGAGUUUAGGAUUUUAUUUGAGUUUAUUUAGGAUAUAAGAUUUAAUUAAUUUUUGGC